rnacentral:lncRNA from 1 species
GACGGUGGGCGACGACGCAGCUAUGGUGGCGGAGCCUCUUCGAUCCUCGCACUCGCGUGGAACCUGUAGGAGAAGGAGGAGAAGGACGAUUGGUCGAGGGCUAGGGUUUCGCAGUGAAGAGAAGCGGAGGAAAGCAGCAGUGCUAGUGAGCAGGACGAGGGCAUACCCGGCGAUGUACGGCCGCGGGGGCAGGGUCCGCGGCGAAGAGUUGCGACCGUAGCCACGGCCCGAGGUUUUGCCGGCGAGGUCGUGCGGAGGGGAGGCGGUGGCAGCGGCGGUACCGGUAGCGGUGGCGUUGGUGGGGAAUGGUGGCGGAGAGGGCGAGGGGUUUUGGCGUGGGGUUUGGAAAUGGUGCGGUACGCGGGAGGG